rnacentral:rRNA from 1 species
CCCGCUGAAUUUAAGCAUAUCAUUAAGCGGAGGAAAAGAAACUAACAAGGAUUCCCCUAGUAACGGCGAGUGAAGCGGAAGAGCUCAAGCUUAAAAUCUCCAUGUGCAAGCAUGGCGAAUUGUAGUCUAUUGAGGCUGUUGUCAGCAUAGCGAUCUGGGAAAAGUCCCUUGGAAAAGGGCAGCAUAGAGGGUGAUACUCCCGUCUCUGCUCAGAUUGUCUGUGUGUACGAUACGCUUUCUUUGAGUCGAGUUGUUUGGGAAUACAGCUCAAAGUAGGUGGUAAAUUCCAUCUAAAGCUAAAUAUUGGUGCGAGACCGAUAGCGAACAAGUACCGUGAGGGAAAGAUGAAAAGAACUUUGAAAAGAGAGUUAAAGAGUACCUGAAACUGUUGAAAGGGAACCGUAUCGUUUCCAGUGUUGUAUCCUGUGCAUAUUUCAUUAGCGGACGAAUUUGCUGGUGCCCUGUGCAUGGGUGUGACGUCAGAGUCAGUUUGUAUGCUGCGGGAGAUGGGCAGUGAGGAGGUGCUUCAUUUCGGUGAAAGUUAUAUCUCGCUGUCUAGUAGCCGUGGUUGAGACUGAGGUGCCUACAACAUGCCUUGGGGUUCGGGGCCGUCUUGUUUUGGUGACUGUUUGGAUAGCUUGCUAUGUCUGCGGUUAAUCAGGGCAAUUGAUGGUGUCGAAAACCUCUGCUGUCGGGACUCUGGCGAAUGG